rnacentral:rRNA from 1 species
UACGUAGGGGGCAAGCGUUGUCCGGAAUCAUUGGGCGUAAAGCGCGUGUAGGCGGCCAGAAAAGUCCGCUGUGAAAACUCGAGGCUCAACCUCGAGCUGUCGGCGGAAACUUUCUGGCUAGAGUCCGGAAGAGGAGAAUGGAAUUCCUGGUGUAGCGGUGAAAUGCGCAGAUAUCAGGAAGAACACCCGUGGCGAAGGCGGUUCUCUGGGACGGUACUGACGCUGAGACGCGAAAGCGUGGGGAGCGAACAGG